UACUGCAGUCGAGCGGACAGAUGGGAGCUUGCUCCCUGAUGUUAGCGGCGGACGGGUGAGUAACACGUGGGUAACCUGCCUGUAAGACUGGGAUAACUCCGGGAAACCGGGGCUAAUACCGGAUGCUUGAUUGAACCGCAUGGUUCAAUUAUAAAAGGUGGCUUUUAGCUACCACUUACAGAUGGACCCGCGGCGCAUUACCUAGUUGGUGAGGUAACGGCUCACCAAGGCGACGAUGCGUAGCCAACCUGAAAGGGUGAUCGGCCACACUGGGACUGAAACACGGCCCAAACUCCUACGGGAGGCAGCAGUAGGGAAUCUUCCGCAAUGGACGAAAGUCUGACGGAGCAACGCCGCGUGAGUGAUGAAGGUUUUCGGAUCGUAAAACUCUGUUGUUAGGGAAAAACAAGUACCGUUCGAAUAGGGCGGUACCUUGACGGUACCUAACCAAAAAGCCACGGCUAACUACGUGCCAGCAGCCGCGGUAAUACGUAGGUGGCAAGCGUUGUCCGGAAUUAUUGGGCGUAAAGCGCGCGCAGGCGGUUUCUUAAGUCUGAUG
rnacentral:rRNA from 1 species